rnacentral:rRNA from 1 species
CCUACGGGAUGCAGCAGUGAGGAAUAUUGGUCAAUGGACGAGAGUCUGAACCAGCCAAGUAGCGUGAAGGAUGACUGCCCUAUGGGUUGUAAACUUCUUUUAUAUGGGAAUAAAAUGUUCCACGUGUGGGAUUAUGUAUGGACCAUAUUAAUAAGGAUCGGCUAACUCCGUGCCAGCAGCCGCGGUAAUACGGAGGAUCCGAGCGUUAUCCGGAUUUAUUGGGUUUAAAGGGAGCGUAGGCGGAUUGUUAAGUCAGGUGUGAAAGUUUGCGGCUCAACCGUAAAAUUGCAGUUGAAACUGGCAGUCUUGAGUACAGUAGAGGUGAGCGGAAUUCGUGGUGUAGCGGUGAAAUGCUUAGAUAUCACGAAGAACACCGAUUGCGAAGGCAGUUCACUGGACUGCAACUGACGCUGAGGCUCGAAAGUGUGGGUAGCAAACAGGAUUAGAUACCCGGGUAGUC